GUGUCAGCAGCCGCGGUAAUACGGAGGGUGCAAGCGUUAAUCGGAAUUACUGGGCGUAAAGCGUGCGUAGGCGGUUCGUUAAGUCUGUUGUGAAAGCCCCGGGCUCAACCUGGGAAUGGCAAUGGAUACUGGCGAGCUAGAGUGUGUCAGAGGAUGGUGGAAUUCCCGGUGUAGCGGUGAAAUGCGUAGAGAUCGGGAGGAACAUCAGUGGCGAAGGCGGCCAUCUGGGACAACACUGACGCUGAGGCACGAAAGCGUGGGGAGCAAACAGGAUUAGAUACCCUAGUAGUCC
rnacentral:rRNA from 1 species